CGAAUGAACGGCAUCAUUCAUGUCAAACACGCAGUUAUCAUGGCUGGUAUCGUACACAUCUACAUGAUUUCGAAACUUUUGUGUGAAGUGUUGAAUUUCUCAUAUAUUUCGCCAUCGGGGAAAUUCCAGCCCGCACGCAACAUUGUCUACAUGUGGCUUAUCAUUUGAAUCUUUACAACCUCACACGUACCUCUGACGAUUGCCAUAAAAACCAAGGUCUUGAUCCUCUAAGAUCAAAUCUCUAAACAAUGCAUAGCUAGCUCAAGGUUCAACCCAUUUCCAAAACAAUACCGGGCUCCGGAAAUUGGAAGUAGAACUGCGCAUAAUUCUCAAACGGAGGGAAAAACACAACAUCCACAGCGCGUGAUCCUGUACCGAAGAACUUUUUUCUUGUACGUCCGGAGUUACUUCAUUGUGAGGUUUGCGAGGGACAUGCGAGCAUUGCCUUUUCGCGACGCGGAUUUUUUUGGCAAGAUGACUACAUUUAUCGUGGCGUUGCUGUUUUUCACCGUUGGCGUCUCCCACGGCGUUGAUGAGGAACCAGUUGGUUUCGUCACCCGAGAGCCUACCUUCACCAAGCUAUUAGAGCCUGCUGAGAAUGGCUUCCGAGUUAACGGGGAGAUGACCGACGAAGGCAUCUGCCUGUGUACGGUGCAACAACCGGCCGAGAUCUUGUGCACCGACUACCAGGCAAAGAAGAACUCGGAAAAACUGCAGGACAUUCAACACAAGAUUUCUAAGCUAGCCCCCGAUGUCAAACAACUUCACGAGACGACCACCAGGCACGCGGAACUCUUCGCUGCAUUCGAGAGCAAUCUGACGGAAGUCACGUCGACCUUUGACCUCAUUGAGGGCGGACAGAUGCUCGUGACUAGAGUGGAGAUAGAGGGCGUGCUCACUCGGAUUCGGCACAUGCAGUCCACACUGUUCGCUCUACGGGAGUGGCAUGGGAUCGAGUCUGAAGCAGCCCACAUGGGCAAGAUCCAAGUCAUGUUGGAUGAGGCCUCGAACAUCACCAGAAUCGUGGAUGCCAUGGCAUCAGAGGAAUUCAUAGACGGUGCCGCGGCUGCCAUACAGCGCGAGAUCAGCUCGCUAACGGACCGGCUGAAAUCUUGCACCGACCAGGCGACCGCGGGCGACCGUGGCUCGGCGGGGGCAGAGAGGGAGAGUCCCGCUGACUCGACGACAACCCCGCCAACUAGCGACACCCUUCCCGAACUGUGGCCUGCGAAAGAGAAACAAAAUACUUGCGGGAGAUUGGUCGGCAUUUCAGAGCCUUACACCUUGCGUGGGAGCCUCGGCUCUAAGGGCACGUGGAUGCGGGAUCCGAUCCUGAACCCGGAAUUUGUAUAUUUCCAUACAUUUCUAGCCACCUCUAGUAGAAGCAGCAGCACGACUACUCAGUUUAAGACCAGUUCGUCCGUCAAGUCUUUCCAGCGGGACGAAACACAUCAGAUAACCGGAGAAGUGACGCACCACAUCGUCGAAUCCGUCGUCUACAAUGGGUCCAUCUUCGCGUACUCCAGCGAGUCAACAAGUCGUUACAGUUAUUACCGUGACGGCCAUCGCCAAUUUAAACUGAUAGGGAUAAAUUUGUCUCACACCUCGCCUUCUUUUCCAGCAUUUACUGCCGGAGAUGUGUCACAGGAGCGAGCAAUGACGGCAACCCAGCUCGAGCAAGCCUCGUACCGCCCCACUACCGUCGUCCCCAAGAUGGACCUGACCGUAGACGAGACUGGCCUGUGGCUGCUGUACGGUGACUCCCUCGGAAUGCUCACCGUCAGCCAAGUGGACCAGACCACCCUUGAGUUCAACCGGACCCUUCGCGGCGCCUACCCGAAGAACCGCCUGGGCAACUGCUUCGUGGUCUGCGGUAAAGUGUACUGUCUGAACAGCUACACCGAGUUCGACUCCAAGGUGUCCUACUUCAUGGACACAGAGACCGGCUUCGAAGGGUUCACCAACGUGCCCUUCAUCAUCAAGUACGGCAGCCUGUCCUCUAUCGAGUAUAACCCGCGUGAUCAGAUGCUGUACGGGUGGGAUAACGAGCACGCUGUCGUCUACUCGAUGACCUUUGAAUGAUGCUGUGAUUCUCUGCAGACUCUAACCCUAUCUACGAAAGAGCUGGCAAUAGCUUAGAUACUGGUUAAUUAAUUAGUGUAUAGUGGCUUUGCACACAACGUAAAAAAAACCCCAAAGCUUUAAACAGUUUGGUAAAAAAAAACGCAAAAAAAAGUUGUUUUAGGAUAAACUACAAUAUUGGGUGAACAAUGGGCGCACAAUGGCAAACCUGCAGGGGGGAUCUCAUCAGGCCUCAAAGGAGGAAUUAAAAGUAAAAUAAGGCGCGUGGUAAUCUUAUAUUAUAGUCGUUAAUAUAAUUACCACAAUUUUGAGCCGGUAUGGAUAUGGAAAUUAUAGAAGAACAUGUAGGUAUAGGUGCAAAGGCUUAUCGCUUGGUUCGAGUUUCAUGAGUUGUGAUGAAUUUUAAAUCCAUGAGAAAAUGUCCUCAAAUGUUACUUUGAAACCCGUGAAAUUAUAUUACUUAGCAGUUUACCAAACCUAUUUAGCUUCAUAUAUGGCUGAAAUGCUUAAUAAAAUACACUUUAGGCCUA
rnacentral:misc_RNA from 1 species